rnacentral:lncRNA from 1 species
CGAGGCCACGGGCAGACAGAAAAGCUCCCGAAACUGAAGGCCUGCCAGGCAGCAGAGUUCCGGAGGGCUCCCAGGACCUUCAACCAGAAAGAGACAGUGAGCAUAUGCGCAUGGAGCCCUGCAAGGAAUGUACUAUAGAGCCAAUUUUACUGGCAAAGGAAUGGAAGAUCUGAAAGGCUAGACGAUCCCACAAGCAGCGAGGAGCAGGCUGGAAUUUGAACCAAUCGCCAUGAUUCCAAAGCUCAAGCUUUUGGCCACCC